rnacentral:rRNA from 1 species
UACUCGAGUGGCGAACGGGUGAGUAACACGUGGGUGAUCUGCCCUGCACUUCGGGAUAAGCCUGGGAAACUGGGUCUAAUACCGGAUAGGAGCCAUUUUUAGUGUGAUGGUUGGAAAGUUUUUUCGGUGUAGGAUGAGCUCGCGGCCUAUCAGCUUGUUGGUGGGGUAAUGGCCUACCAAGGCGGCGACGGGUAGCCGGCCUUAGAGGGUGGACGGCCACAUUGUGACUGAGAUACGGCCCAG